GGCGCUAUGGUGUAGUGGCAGCACACGGGAUUUUGAGGAAGUCUUCCCAGAGUCUUCCCGUAACCCAGGUUCGAACCCUGGUAGUGCCU